UUGAAAUCUGGCUCUCGGGCCCGAGUUGUAAUUUGUAGAGGAUGCUUUUGGUGCGGUGCCUUCCGAGUUCCCUGGAACGGGACGCCAUAGAGGGUGAGAGCCCCGUCUGGUUGGACGCCAAACCUCUGUAAAGCUCCUUCGACGAGUCGAGUAGUUUGGGAAUGCUGCUCUAAAUGGGAGGUAUAUGUCUUCUAAAGCUAAAUACCGGCCAGAGACCGAUAGCGCACAAGUAGAGUGAUCGAAAGAUGAAAAGCACUUUGAAAAGAGAGUUAAAAAGUACGUGAAAUUGUUGAAAGGGAAGCGUUUGUGACCAGACUUGGGCUCGGUUGAUCAUCCAGGGUUCUCCCUGGUGCACUCUCCCGGGCUCAGGCCAGCAUCAGUUCGCCGCGGGGGAAAAAGGCCUCGGGAAUGUGGCUCCCUCGGGAGUGUUAUAGCCCGUUGCGUAAUACCCUGGGGCGGACUGAGGUUCGCGCAUCUGCAAGGAUGCUGGCGUAAUGGUCAUCAGCGACCCGUCUUGAAACACGGACCAAGGAGUCGUCCUCGUAUGCGAGUGUUCGGGUGUCAAACCCCUACGCGUAAUGAAAGUGAACGCAGGUGAGAGCUUCGGCGCAUCAUCGACCGAUCCUGAUGUUCUCGGAUGGAUUUGAGUAAGAGCAUACGGGGCCGGACCCGAAAGAAGGUGAACUAUGCCUGUGUAGGGUGAAGCCAGAGGAAACUCUGGUGGAGGCUCGCAGCGGUUCUGACGUGCAAAUCGAUCGUCAAACA
rnacentral:rRNA from 1 species